GUCGGCUGGUCAUGGUUUUUGUACUUGUGUACUAAUUAUAACCAUUUGCAGAUCCUGAUAAGCCAAACUCAAGAAAAAUCCUUCAAACUGGCAGUAUCCACACAGAGAACCUGCCAUUAAGAUCCCAUGAGACCAAGAAGACACCACGUCGAGUUAUUGAGAAGAAGGCACCAAGACAAGAGCUACAAGAGGAUAUACCAUCUUCCUCCCAUUCAUAUUUAGAGCCAGGAUUGUGUUCAGAUGAUUUAAUUAAUCAACUUGACAAUGAUACUUUAUUGGAAUGGAAAAGUGAAGUGUUGUGAUGAUGGCAAUGUCAAUUUUUUUCUGACUGACAAUGUCCAUGGAGUUGCCAAAUAUACAGUUGUUGUGGAUUCUUG